CACUGCCGAGAAAAGCCUCUAGCUAGAAUAACGGUGCCCGUACCGCAAACCGACACAGGUAGUCAAGAUGAGAAUUCUAAGGUGAGCGAGCGAACUCUCGUUAAGGAACUCGGCAAAAUGACCCCGUAACUUCGGGAGAAGGGGUGCUCUUUGAGGUUCACGCUUCGAAGAGCCGCAGUGAAUAGGCCCAAGCGACUGUUUAUCAAAAACACAGGUCUCUGCUAAACCGUAAGGUGACGUAUAGGGGCUGACGCCUGCCCGGUGCUGGAAGGUUAAGAGGAGUGGUUAGCGCAAGCGAAGCUACGAAUCGAAGCCCCAGUAAACGGCGGCCGUAACUAUAACGGUCCUAAGGUAGCGAAAUUCCUUGUCGGGUAAGUUCCGACCCGCACGAAAGGCGUAACGAUUUGGGCACUGUCUCAACGAGAGACUCGGUGAAAUCAUAGUACCGGUGAAGAUGCCGGUUACCCGCGACAGGACGGAAAGACCCCGUGGAGCUUUACUGUAGCCUGAUAUUGAAAUUCGGUACAGUUUGUACAGGAUAGGUAGGAGCCUUAGAAGCGUGAGCGCUAGCUUACGUGGAGGCAUUGGUGGGAUACUACCCUAAUUGUAUUGGAUUUCUAACCCGCAGCACUUAUCGUGCUGGGAGACAGUGUCAGGCGG
rnacentral:rRNA from 1 species